AAAUAUUUCAAAAAAUAUUUUGUUAAAAAAUACAAUUUUCUAAAAUAAAGUAAAAAAAUUGUGUUUCAAUUAAAUAAAUUAAGAAAUAUUAAAAAAAUUAACGAAAAUCAAAAAAAAAAAAAUUUGAAUUAUUUUCAAUUCUCAACUAAAAGUGAAAUUAAGAGUUCUCAACUAUAAACUGUGAAAUUUCAUAAGAAAAAAAAUUCUAUUAUUUAAACUUUUUUAAUAAAUCUAUACAAAUUCCUUCACAUCAUCGAUUAGCUGUGGUGAAUAAUUUUAAAAAAGAUUUUCUUAGUGGAAACGUCAUCAAAUCAGCAAUCCAGGAAAAUUAGCAAUUAAAGAUAUUAGUGUUUUCAGAUAUUGUGACUCAAUUUAAUAAAUAAAUUGUAAUUAAAACACGCGUUGACAUACUUAUUAACACAGAAAUGCGCAUAAGAAAUUAUAAUUUUUAAGUCAUAAAUAUUUGUAUAUAGUAUGUAAAUUUACAAAUAUUUACAUUUAAUAAUUAUAUAAAAUCUUAUUAAUUUCGAUCUCCGAAUUGUUUGAUUUCUAUUUUUUUUGAUACAAAAGUUUUCGUUUUUGAAGUAAAUACAAUUAUUUUUAAAAUUAUUAAUCCAGAAAAGAAAAAACUAAUAUUAAAAGUAAUAAUAUUUUUAUAAAGUAAAAAUUUUUAAAUAAUUUAAUAAGUGUAAAAAGGAAAAAAAAGGAUAAUAGGACAAAAAAAAAUAAUAGAAUUUUAUUAAUUUAUCAGAAGUGAUGAAGUCAUGAGACCAACAUUCGAUCGAAGGCUCUGGAUACUUCUGUUUUGGUACAUCAUAUUUUUACAAUGUAAGUUUGAACGAACAUUUUGGGAAAUUUUCAAAUUUCAGUUUUGUGUUAAGUCAAGUGAGUUUUGUUAUAUGUACAUAUAAUAUCCUUUAAUAUUAUUUUGGGAAUUUUAAAUG